rnacentral:rRNA from 1 species
AGCUCCAAUAGCGUAUAUUAAAGUUGUUGUAGUUAAAAAGCUUGUAGUUGUAUUUCUGGCAGGAGUGACCGGUCCGCUUCGCAAGAAGUGUGCACUAGUGUCGCCUCCGGCCUUCCUUGUGGAGAACAGUUCUGGCAUUUGGUUGUCGGGGCUGGGACCCGCAUCGUUUACUGUGAGAAAAUCAGAGUGUUCAAAGCAGGCUUACGCCGCUGAAUACAUUAGCAUGGAAUAAUAAGAUAAGACCUUGGUGGUCUAUUUUGUUGGUUUGCACGCCAAGGUAAUGAUUAACAGGGACAGUUGGGGGUAUUCGUAUUUAAUUGUCAGAGGUGAAAUUCUUGGAUUUCUGAAAGACGAACUACUGCGAAAGCAUUUACCAAGGAUGUUUUCAUUAAUCAAGAAC